rnacentral:lncRNA from 7 species
GAUUAAGAACGGAUACAGCUGCAUCACACGAGCGCUUUGUUAGAUGCACUAUUUUCCUUCUGUGCCUUUUCCAUAAUUCCAGAAGAAGCACUCUGCAAGGCAGUCAACGAGCAUAUGCUGUACAUGUUUCUAUGUUUCCUCAGCUGGGACUGAGGGAGAAGUCAGGAUGGCAAGGGGUCCUGCCCACCUCUGCAGGUAGGACACCAGAAAGACAUCCCGCAUGGCUGCCAUGCGCUGAGGUAGGGUACACAGGAGACACGAAUACAAAACCUAGGGGAAAAAAAACCAAACAAGUGAAUGGAAAGGACAUGAACACUCAUGCAACUACUGCGUCACCGGGCUGUGAUGCUGCUUUUAGCAGCUGCAGACAGCAGGGCUCGUGGAGGGGUUUGUUGGCUGUACCACAGCCUUACUAUGUGCAAAGCAAUCUUGUAAUGUACAGCUGACCCCACCCGUUUCAGAAGAUUCCAGCUGUUUGAAGCAGUCCUCAAAUCCUCACUGGGUUAUUUCAGUGAUCUUCCUUGGAGCUAACCCGAGCUAGCAACAGUGUUGGCACAGGUACACGUGUCUGCAGCAGAGAUGGUAACAAAAAGGCACCACAGCUACAAACUUCCAUCUUUGAUUUUCAUCAGCUUCCCACCGACACCCCCAGUCAUCUCCAGCAUUCUGUAAUGAUGACAGAGUCAGAGAAGAAUUGGCAAAGAAGUGUUUUCUCCAGAGCCCACGUCAUCAGAAAAUUCAUGGUGAUGAGGCUGGGCCAAGUCAAGCCAGGAGGUCAUCCCACAAGUCAGGGGCUAAAAGCCACCAGAGUAAAGGCGGUGUGAUGACGGAGUACACUGUGCUUAGCUCUUACCCUUUACCAUGCAGAGACUGGAUGCAGUGGAGGUCCAGGCUAUUUCGUAUCCAAAUGGACCUGUGAAGACUGCUGAGAAGCUGGCUAUGACCAGGAGAAGUCCUGAGUCCAUACCUGCGAGAUUCCUACAGAUUGAAGGAGAGAAUGUCUGUGAUAUUACAGUACUUUCCACUGGCAUGGCUGGAAGAGAGUUUCUAUCUACAGUGCACAUCCCUUCACUAGAACCAGGACAUGUAAGUUCUAUGCAGCGGAAAUAAAAUUCACCCUAUUUUCCAUUGAAAG